rnacentral:rRNA from 1 species
UGGGGAAUAUUGGACAAUGGGGGGAACCCUGAUCCAGCCAUGCCGCGUGUGUGAAGAAGGCCUUAUGGUUGUAAAGCACUUUAAGCGAGGAGGAGGGUACUGGUAUUAAUACUACCAGGUACUGGACGUUACUCGCAGAAUAAGCACAGGCUAACUCUGUGCCAGCAGCCGCGGUAAUACAGAGGGUGCGAGCGUUAAUCGGAUUUACUGGGCGUAAAGCGGGCGUAGGUGGUUCGUUAAGUUGAAUGUGAAAGCCCCGGGCUCAACCUGGGAACUGCAUCCGAAACUGGCGAGCUAGAGUAGGGCAGAGGGUGGUGGGAUUUCCUGUGUAGCGGUGAAAUGCGUAGAUAUAGAAAGGAACACCAGUGGCGAAGGCGACCACCUGGGCUCAUACUGACACUGAGGUGCGAAAGCGUGGGGAGCAAACAGG